GAGCGGUAACAGAAAGUAGCUUGCUACUUUGCUGACGAGCGGCGGACGGGUGAGUAAUGCUUGGGAACAUGCCUUGAGGUGGGGGACAACAGUUGGAAACGACUGCUAAUACCGCAUAAUGUCUACGGACCAAAGGGGGCUUCGGCUCUCGCCUUUAGAUUGGCCCAAGUGGGAUUAGCUAGUUGGUGAGGUAAUGGCUCACCAAGGCAACGAUCCCUAGCUGGUUUGAGAGGAUGAUCAGCCACACUGGAACUGAGACACGGUCCAGACUCCUACGGGAGGCAGCAGUGGGGAAUAUUGCACAAUGGGCGAAAGCCUGAUGCAGCCAUGCCGCGUGUGUGAAGAAGGCCUUCGGGUUGUAAAGCACUUUCAGUCAGGAGGAAAGGGUGUGAGUUAAUACCUCAUAUCUGUGACGUUACUGACAGAAGAAGCACCGGCUAACUCCGUGCCAGCAGCCGCGGUAAUACGGAGGGUGCGAGCGUUAAUCGGAAUUACUGGGCGUAAAGCGUACGCAGGCGGUUUGUUAAGCGAGAUGUGAAAGCCCCGGGCUCAACCUGGGAACUGCAUUUCGAACUGGCAAACUAGAGUGUGAUAGAGGGUGGUAGAAUUUCAGGUGUAGCGGUGAAAUGCGUAGAGAUCUGAAGGAAUACCGAUGGCGAAGGCAGCCACCUGGGUCAACACUGACGCUCAUGUACGAAAGCGUGGGGAGCAAACGGGAUUAGAUACCCCGGUAGUCCACGCCGUAAACGAUGUCUACUAGAAGCUCGGAACCUCGGUUCUGUUUUUCAAAGCUAACGCAUUAAGUAGACCGCCUGGGGAGUACGGCCGCAAGGUUAAAACUCAAAUGAAUUGACGGGGGCCCGCACAAGCGGUGGAGCAUGUGGUUUAAUUCGAUGCAACGCGAAGAACCUUACCUACACUUGACAUACAGAGAACUUUCUAGAGAUAGAUUGAUGCCUUCGGGAGC
rnacentral:rRNA from 1 species